rnacentral:rRNA from 1 species
UUAAAAUUGUUGCAGUUAAAACGCUCGUAGUUGAAUUUCAAGGAAUCAAUAUUUUAAGUAAUGCUUUGUAUAUUUAUAACAAAGUUGUACGUUAAGAAUAAACGCCAAGCGUUAUAUUUUUUCUGUUACAUUUUGUUUUAUUAAUAUAUAUAUGCGUUCUUAUUAUAAAAAUGAUUCUUUUUAAAAUUCUUUUGUAUAAUUUUUUAUGCAUGGGAAUUUUGUUACUUUGAGUAAAUUAGAGUGUUCAAAGCAAACAGUUAAAACAGUUUCUGUGUUUGAAUACUACAGCAUGGAAUAACAAAAUUGAACAAGUCAGAAUUUUGUUCUUUUUUCUUAUUUUGGCUUAGUUACGAUUAAUAGGAGUAGCUUGGGGGCAUUUGUAUUCAGAUGUCAGAGGUGAAAUUCUUAGAUUUUCUGGAGACAAGCAACUGCGAAAGCAUUUGCCUAAAAUACUUCCAUUAAUCAAGAACGAAAGUUAAGGGAGUGAAGACGAUCAGAUACCGUCGUAAUCUUAACCAUAAACUAUGCCGACUAGGUGUUGGAUGAUAGAGUAAAAAAUAAAAGAGACAUUCAUAUAUAUGAGUGUUUCUUUUAGAUAGCUUCCUUCAGUACCUUAUGAGAAAUCAAAGUCUUUGGGUUCUGGGGCGAGUAUUCGCGCAAGCGAGAAAGUUAAAAGAAUUGACGGAAGGGCACCACCAGGCGUGGAGCUUGCGGCUUAAUUUGACUCAACACGGGGAAACUCACUAGUUUAAGACAAGAGUAGGAUUGACAGAUUAAUAGCUCUUUCUUGAUUUCUUGGAUGGUGAUGCAUGGCCGUUUUUAGUUCGUGAAUAUGAUUUGUCUGGUUAAUUCCGAUAACGAACGAGAUCUUAACCUGCUAAUUAGCGGUAAAUACACUAUAUUCUUAAGUGAAAUUAGAAUAUAGAUAAAUUGUGCUAAUUUUGAUUAAAAUAUUAGAAUGUUUUUUUUAAUAAAAACGUUCUUUUCCCUUUUUUUCUUAAUUAUGCAUAUUUAUUCUUUUUCUUUUUUCGCAUAAGAAUGUAUUUGCUUAAUUGUAAAGCUUCUUAGAGGAACGAUGUGUGUCUAACACAAGGAAGUUUAAGGCAACAACAGGUCUGUGAUGUCCUUAGAUGAACUAGGCUGCACGCGUGCUACACUGAUAUGUAUAACGAGUAUUUAAAAAUAUAUAUCUUGUUAUGUUAUAUGUAUUUCUAUAUGUAUGCAUACAAAGAAUAUAUAGUUUUCCUCCACUGAAAAGUGUAGGUAAUCUUUUUCAAUACAUAUCGUGAUGGGGAUAGAUUAUUGCAA